rnacentral:rRNA from 1 species
UUAAGUCCCGCAACGAGCGCAACCCCUAUUGUUAGUUGCCAUCAUUCAGUUGGGCACUCUAGCGAGACUGCCGGUAAUAAACCGGAGGAAGGUGGGGAUGACGUCAAAUCAUCAUGCCCCUUAUGACCUGGGCUACACACGUGCUACAAUGGUUGGUACAACGAGUUGCGAGUCGGUGACGGCGAGCUAAUCUCUUAAAGCCAAUCUCAGUUCGGAUUGUAGGCUGCAACUCGCCUACAUGAAGUCGGAAUCGCUAGUAAUCGCGGAUCAGCACGCCGCGGUGAAUACGUUCCCGGGCCUU